GGGGCUGUAGCUCAGUUGGGAGAGCGCGUGCUUUGCAAGCAUGAGGUCACCGGUUCGAUCCCGGUCAGCUCCACCA
rnacentral:tRNA from 1 species